GGGUUGUGAGGUUAAGCGACUAAGCGUACACGGUGGAUGCCCUGGCAGUCAGAGGCGAUGAAGGACGUGCUAAUCUGCGAUAAGCGUCGGUGAGGUGAUAUGAACCGUUAUAACCGGCGAUUUCCGAAUGGGGAAACCCAGUGUGUUUCGACACACUAUCAUUAACUGAAUCCAUAGGUUAAUGAGGCGAACCGGGGGAACUGAAACAUCUAAGUACCCCGAGGAAAAGAAAUCAACCGAGAUUCCCCCAGUAGCGGCGAGCGAACGGGGAGGAGCCCAGAGCCUGAAUCAGUGUGUGUGUUAGUGGAAGCGUCUGGAAAGGCGCGCGAUACAGGGUGACAGCCCCGUACACAAAAAUGCACAUACUGUGAGCUCGAUGAGUAGGGCGGGACACGUGGUAUCCUGUCUGAAUAUGGGGGGACCAUCCUCCAAGGCUAAAUACUCCUGACUGACCGAUAGUGAACCAGUACCGUGAGGGAAAGGCGAAAAGAACCCCGGCGAGGGGAGUGAAAAAGAACCUGAAACCGUGUACGUACAAGCAGUGGGAGCCUCUUAAUGGGGUGACUGCGUACCUUUUGUAUAAUGGGUCAGCGACUUAUAUUCUGUAGCAAGGUUAACCGAAUAGGGGAGCCGAAGGGAAACCGAGUCUUAACUGGGCGUUAAGUUGCAGGGUAUAGACCCGAAACCCGGUGAUCUAGCCAUGGGCAGGUUGAAGGUUGGGUAACACUAACUGGAGGACCGAACCGACUAAUGUUGAAAAAUUAGCGGAUGACUUGUGGCUGGGGGUGAAAGGCCAAUCAAACCGGGAGAUAGCUGGUUCUCCCCGAAAGCUAUUUAGGUAGCGCCUCGUGAAUUCAUCUCCGGGGGUAGAGCACUGUUUCGGCAAGGGGGUCAUCCCGACUUACCAACCCGAUGCAAACUGCGAAUACCGGAGAAUGUUAUCACGGGAGACACACGGCGGGUGCUAACGUCCGUCGUGAAGAGGGAAACAACCCAGACCGCCAGCUAAGGUCCCAAAGUCAUGGUUAAGUGGGAAACGAUGUGGGAAGGCCCAGACAGCCAGGAUGUUGGCUUAGAAGCAGCCAUCAUUUAAAGAAAGCGUAAUAGCUCACUGGUCGAGUCGGCCUGCGCGGAAGAUGUAACGGGGCUAAACCAUGCACCGAAGCUGCGGCAGCGACACUAUGUGUUGUUGGGUAGGGGAGCGUUCUGUAAGCCUGUGAAGGUG
rnacentral:rRNA from 1 species